AUGCCGGAGGUGGAGUCCAGAUCCGAUACGGCGCCUCACCAAGGUCACCGCCGCGCGGUGGUGAUGGCGGCGUCCAGCGCGACUCCGUGCGCCCACGCCCACGAGUGGGGAGUCCCGCCUCGGUUCGGCCAGGCCCGACCAUCUCCUCCUCCGAGCUCCAAGCGUCCAUGGUGGCCUCCUCUUGCUGCCUCUGCUCGGCCGCGCCGCGUGCAGACGACUCUUCCCGCUCGUCAAGGGUCGGCACAGCGAUUGGAGACGAGCAGGAAUGAACCAACAAGCCUAAGAGGAGGAGCAGGAGCUCCAUCAGCAGCAGCUCAUGCUCAUGGACGACCAAGUCUGAAUCGUUGUUGUUACUCUGCUGUCCUGGCUUCAAUUCACGGCAUAGGAGGGAUUUGA
rnacentral:rRNA from 1 species